AUGGACGCCGAUCGCCGUGGGGGCUUAAGGACGCCGAUCUUUGCGGACGAUGAGGCCCAGGCGUCUGGUUCGGAAGCUCGGGAGCAUGAGGUGCACAAGGCGGCCGGUCACUGCUCUGAUAAGGCGCUCAAAGUCAUCUUGUGCCUGCAGUUCCUGGAGGUCAGUGCUUUCUACGGGGUCUACCUGAACUUGAUAGUCUAUCUUCAGGAUGUUCUCCAUGGAGACAGCGCAUCCAAUGUGACGGCCGUGAAUUCUUGGGCUGGGGUCAGCUACCUCAUGCCCCUGCUCGGCGCCGCCGUCGCCGACUCCUACUGGGGAAAACACAAGACGGUUUUGAUCGGCCUCUCCAUUUCUGUCGUCGGGAUGGCCAUGGUCACCACGUCAGCUACGCUGCCAUCUCUGAGGCCGCCGCGGUGCUCGCCGGGCGCGUACUGCGCACCGGCGACGCUUAGCCAAGAGCUAGUCUUCUUUUCGGGCAUAUACCUGUGCGGCGUCGGGAUCGGCGCGUCCAAGGCCGUCUUCAUCUCGUUUGCCGCGGAGCAGUUCGACGACGACGAUGACAAGAACACGUCGGGACGGGAGGCCAAGGCGUCCUACUUCAGCUGGUACUACGCGGUGGCCAACGUGGCCAUGCUGACCGCGGGGACAUUGCUGGUUUGGGUAGAGGACAAGGUGAACUGGGGGCUCGGGUACGGCAUCUGCGCGUCGUUCGUCGUGGUCGCCGUCGUCGGCCUCGCCGCGACGGCGCCCAUGUACCGGCUCGUGCCUCCGGCGGGCAGCCCGAUUAAAGGCGUGCUCCAAGUGCUCGUCGCGCUCUCUCGCAAGGUAAACCUGGCGGUGCCUGACGACGCCACUGAAUUGUACGAGGAGGAUGGUGUCAAGAACCCGUUGCUGCAUCCGCUGCACGAACGAUUGCAGCACACCGAACAGUUCAGGUGCUUGGACAAGGCUGCCAUUGUCACGGCCGAGGACUUGGAAGACGGCGACCUGAACCGGCCAUGGAGGCUGUGCACGGUCACCCAGGUGGAGGAGCUCAAGACUCUGCUGCGGCUGAUCCCGAUAUGGCUCACCUCGGCCGUCUACUUCGUCGCCAACACGCAGGCGCAGACCACGUUCGUGCAGCAGGGCACCAAGACGGACUCCCACAUCGCGGGCGGCGCCGCCUCCGUCCCGGCCGCGUCGCUGACGUCCAUCGAGACGGUGCUCGCCGCCGCCUACGUCACGUUCUACAACAGGGCCGUCGCGCCAUCCGUGGCGUUCACGCCGCUCCAGCUCAUGGGGCUCGGGCACGCGACGGCGGCCGGCGCGGUGGCCGUGGCCGCGUGCACCGAGGCGUGCAGGCUGCGGAUGGCCGGGGGCCAGGAGGCGGCCCAAAUGGGCAUAGCGUGGCUGCUGCCGCAGUACGCCGUGAUGGCGGUCUCGGACGCGUCGCUCUCAGUGGGGCAGAUGCAGUUCUUCUACGACCAGUCGCCGGAGACGAUGAGGGGCGCGUCGACGGCGUUCUACUUCCUGUCCAUCUCGCUCGGGAAUCUGAUCAAUUCUCAGCUGGUGACGCUGGUGGCGUCCGUCACCUCGGCUGGGGGCAGAACGGGAUGGUUUCCACCGGAAAUGGAUGAUGGGCGCCUAGAUUACUACUUCGUGCUCGUUGUCGCCAUCACUUUGCUCAACUUUGCCGUGUUUGUUGCCCUUGCUAAGAACUACACGUCAAAGAGAGUUAGAUAG
rnacentral:rRNA from 1 species